CAGUAGUCAUAUGCUUGUCUCAAAGAUUAAGCCAUGCAUGUCUAAGUAUAAGCGCUCUUAUACUGUGAAACUGCGAAUGGCUCAUUAAAUCAGUUAUAGUUUAUUUGAUGUUGACUUACUACUUGGAUAACCGUGGUAAUUCUAGAGCUAAUACAUGCGUUAAAGUCCUGACCCCUCGGGGAAGGGAUGUAUUUAUUAGAUCCAAAACCGAUGCAGCUUCGGCUGGUUAUUGGUGAUUCAUGAUAACUGAACGGAUCGCAUGGUCUUGCGCCGGCGAUGACUCAUUCAAAUUUCUGCCCUAUCAACUUUCGAUGGUAAGGUAGUGGCUUACCAUGGUUGCAACGGGUGACGGAGAAUUAGGGUUCGAUUCCGGAGAGGGAGCCUGAGAAACGGCUACCACAUCCAAGGAAGGCAGCAGGCGCGCAAAUUAUCCAAUCCCGACACGGGGAGAUAGUGACGAUAAAUAACAAUGCAGGACUCCUUUGAGUCUUGCAAUUGGAAUGAGAACAAUUUAAACCCCUAACGAGGAACAAUUGGAGGGCAAGUCUGGUGCCCGCAGCCGCGGUAAUUCCAGCUCCAAUAGCGUAUAUUAAAGUUGUUGCAGUUAAAAAGCUCGUAGUUGGAUUUCGGAGCGGAGCUCAUGGUCUGCCUUUUUUGGGUGCGUACUGUGUUGUUCUGUUCUUCUUCUCGUGGAGCGUGUGUGCUCUUCAUUGAGUGUGCACGUAACUCGGGACUUUUACUUUGAAAAAAUUAGAGUGUUCAAAGCAGGCCUUGGCUUGAAUACAUUAGCAUGGAAUAAUGAAAUAGGACUUUGGUUCUAUUUUGUUGGUUUUCGGAACCAAGGUAAUGACUAAUAGGGACAGUUGGGGGCAUUCGUAUUCAAUUGUCAGAGGUGAAAUUCUUGGAUUUAUGGAAGACGAACAACUGCGAAAGCAUUUGCCAAGGAUGUUUUCAUUAAUCAAGAACGAAAGUUGGAGGUUCGAAGACGAUCAGAUACCGUCGUAGUUCCAACCAUAAACGAUGCCGACUAGGGAUCGGUGGAUGUUAUUGAAUGACUCCAUCGGCACCUUAUGAGAAAUCAAAGUUUUUGGGUUCCGGGGGGAGUAUAAUCGCAAGAUCGGAACUUAAAGGAAUUGACGGAAGGGCACCACCAGGAGUGGAGCCUGCGGCUUAAUUUGACUCAACACGGG
rnacentral:rRNA from 1 species